UCCCCUUCCUCUUUCCUCUCUCUCUCUCUCUCUCCCUCUCAUUGUUUUAAUGUUUUAGCUUGCUCUAUAAAAUAAUAUAUUUUUCCUGUUUAAAAAAAAAAAAUCUCACAAGUAACACUACUUUUUAGAGCAGUGAAAGAGAAAGAGAGAAAGAGAGAGAAAGAGAAAAAAAGAAAAGGGA